UGUUUGCAAGGGAAAAACCGUCCCUAAAAUAAUAACAAUAAUAAUAAAAAAAAAAAAAAAAAAACGAAUAUAAUCCAGUUCCCUGUGGGAAAACCGGAAACCCACUGAGGGCUGGUGAUCUGCCAGGCAUCCUGGCGUAGUUAGUGGGCCAGCCAGGAUCCGAACCCAUGGUCCCCAUUCUCUAAUUGGCCUUGCUGCCACACGGCCUUCUCCACGAAAGGCGAUUGUCCUCUGUGGUUUCCCCCCUUGCUCUCUGCCUGUCUCCUCCCUCAGAAGACAGGGCAGACCCCUCCCCAGAGCCAGCCCGGCUCUGGGUCGGGGCCCUGCCAGGUCGGGCAGCCCAGCAUGGAGUCGGUGGGGCUGCCAUAAACAGGGGAGUGUGCUUCCUUUCCCACAAGCUUGAAUGGAGUGAGGGGGGACUCAGCCCCCGGGCCCCUCCAGGCAGCCCCAGUGCAGGGUAGCUCAGCUGAUCUCCAGAUGGCCCAGCAAGAGGAAAACUUGAUGAAGGUCUUCAUUCUCUGAGGCCUUUCCUUCCCUGAGGAGAGGGUUCGCUUCCUGGGAAACCGUAGACGAGGCCGCGUGAGAGAGACAGAGGUCCAAGUUGUGGGGGGGUGGGGGGGGGGUGUAAAAGCGUGUGUGAGAAAACCCACGGCGCGGGGCAAGGGUGGGGUAGAGACCGAGGCAGCAGAGAGGAGAAGUGAUGCAAAGAAACAACCUUCCUCAGAGAGUUUUGGGAGCUAAGUGUCCUGAAGAGAACUUGGAACUGUACCUGGCACGGUAAGUGCCAUGUGGACGUUGUUGAUUAUUGCAGAGGUGGAGAGUGUGGUGGACGAGAGAGAGGAAGGGAAGUGGGGGGGGGGGGGGGGGGUGGGGCGGGCAGGAGCUGAUCCCGGAAGCCCCAGAGAUGCAAGGAAAGGUGGAAUCUGGGCGGGGCUCCCUUGUCUGGCUCUUCUCCCAUGAAGCUGACUCUGUUCCUCUUCCUCUCUCAUUGUAUUUUUAAAUCUAAAUAGCGCAGCCUCCGUUGUGUGAAGGAACACGAUUUUCUGGAUUCCCUGAAGCGCCUCAGCACACUGUGCGUUGAGAGUCUGCCUGGCAACAGCCAUCUAGGUCCCAGGGAUGGUGACGGAGGGGCCUGGUGGCCACAUACCGCCUCAGCCCUAAUAGUAAAGAUUCCGCGGUGCGCCUGAGCCUUCGUGCCUGCCCUCCUACCCCUGUAAACCCUCUGGGUCUCCUCCCACCUUUGGCCGGAGGGAACCCCUUCCCAGAUUGCGUCGGAUUGAGGGUGAAGCCCACACAGCCCGGGGCUCCCUGGGCGGAGAUGGGUCCUGGCCCUUCCGGGCCCUGACGACGCUGUGCGGCUGGAGCUCCGUCCCCCACCUGUGCCUUGAGGCCCUGCCCCACUUUGUGAUGGCUCUGAAAGGUCAAGGGCGGGACACGGGUCUACACUGAUUUUCAAUCUGGGCCAUCACAGGGGGCCUUUUUGGGUCAACGUUUAAAAAAUGUGAUCUCCUCUCUCCGUGGAGGCUGAGAAGCGUCCCAAGGAGGGUUUCUACCCCAGCGGGGCCGGCUCCUGCGCUGGCGGCCUGGAAAACACUGCUGUCCCCGGCAUCGUCCUGGUGCCCGGAGCUGCUGGUGGCUGCACGAACAGAACCUCGGCCCCAAGCAAAGGGCAGAUCGCCAGGCCCAGUGACCGUCUGCGUCAGCCCCAUACCCUCUCAGGCUGCGGGAGAUCAUCCAGAAGCUUUCGGGCCUCUCAGCCCUGUGAUGCGAGAGGGCAGGACAUCUUCAAACGUAUGGCUGAGGACAUUUCAAGGUCCAGAGAAAAGAGUGAUGGGCAGAAGCCAUGGCGAGAAGCCAAUGGCCUGAUUUCUGGUCCUGGGCCAUUUCUACAAUUCAGUUCUGCCCCGCCCCCCCCUCAACACCACCACUCCAGUCUUGCUGAAAGUAUGUAUUCACCAAGAGGCUACCACUUGCUGACUCAUUCAUUCAUUCCUUUCAUGAACCAUUAUGGAGCUCCAGGCACUGUUGUAUGUCUGGAAUACACAGCAGUGAAAAUAAAAAUGAAACAAAACCCAAACCAGCCCUUUCUGUUCGUUAUGAUUAGGCCCUGUUAAGGGCAGUGCCGUGAUAAAGAGCUCAGAGGCUGGGGCCCGGCUGCCUGGGUCUGAGUCCCAGCUCCCCUGGUCACCAGCAGCAGCCUCUCUGGCAAGUUUUUCAAACCUUCUGCGUCUCAGUGUCUUCUUCGUAAGUCAAGGAUAAUUAUAGUACCUCCCUGAGGGCUGUUUAGUGCGGUGGACACGAGGGUACAAGUGUAUUCUCACGAGUACCUGAGUCGUCUCUGGCACACAGCAAGCCCUCCAGAAAAGCUACUGGCGGGUCCAACCGAUCUUAUGGGGGGGCU